rnacentral:rRNA from 1 species
GAUGAACGCUGGCGGCGUGCCUAAUACAUGCAAGUCGAGCGAACAGACGAGAGUGCUUGCUCUCUGUGACUUUAGCGGCGGAGGGGUGUAAAACACGUAUGUACCCUACCUAUAAGACUGAUAUAACUUCGGGAAACCGGCUCUAUACCGGUAAAUUUUUAACUUCCCAUGUAGCAAAGGUGAAAGACGGUUUUGUGUUCACUUAUUGAGGGACCCGCGGGUUAUUAGCUAGUUGGUGAGUUAACGGCUCACCCAGGCCAAGAUACAUAGCGCACCGGAGGGGGUGAUCGGCCACACUGGGAAUGAGACACGGCCCAGACUCCUAAGGGAGGCAGCAGUAGGGAAUCUUCCGCAAUGGGCGAAAGUCUGAAGGAGCAAAGCCGGGUGAGGGAAGAAAGUUCUCGGAUUGUAAAAAUCUGUUGUAUGGGAAGAACAAGAACGUUAGUAACUGAACGUCGAUUGAAGGUAACUUACUAGAAAGCCACGGCCAAAUUCGGGC